rnacentral:rRNA from 1 species
AACGAACGCUGGCGGCAUGCCUAACACAUGCAAGUCGAACGAGACCUUCGGGUCUAGUGGCGCACGGGUGCGUAACGCGUGGGAAUCUGCCCUUGGGUUCGGAAUAACAGCGAGAAAUUGCUGCUAAUACCGGAUGAUGACGUAAGUCCAAAGAUUUAUCGCCCAAGGAUGAGCCCGCGUAGGAUUAGCUAGUUGGUGAGGUAAAGGCUCACCAAGGCGACGAUCCUUAGCUGGUCUGAGAGGAUGAUCAGCCACACUGGGACUGAGACACGGCCCAGACUCCUACGGGAGGCAGCAGUGGGGAAUAUUGGACAAUGGGCGAAAGCCUGAUCCAGCAAUGCCGCGUGAGUGAUGAAGGCCUUAGGGUUGUAAAGGCUCUUUUUACCCGGGAUGAUAAUGACAGUACCGGGAGAAUAAGCUCCGGCUAACUCCGUGCCAGCAGCCGCGGUAAU